CCACUUUACUGGGUGUCGUCGCAAACCAGGACUUUUACUUUGAAAAAAUUAGAGUGUUCAAAGCAGGCCUUUGCCCGAAUACAUUAGCAUGGAAUAAUAAAAUAGGACGCGCGUUCCCAUUUUGUUGGUUUCUGAGAUCGCCGUAAUGAUUAAUAGGGAUAGUUGGGGGCAUUUGUAUUCCGUCGUCAGAGGUGAAAUUCUUGGAUUGCCGGAAGACAAACUACUGCGAAAGCAUUUGCCAAGGAUGUUUUCAUUGAUCAAGAACGAAGGAAGGGGGAUCGAAAACGAUUAGAUACCGUUGUAGUCUCUUCUGUAAACUAUGCCAAUUGGGGAUCGGUACAGGAUUUUUAAUGACUGUAUCGGCACCCGAAGAGAAAUCUUUAAAUGAGGUUCGGGGGGGAGUAUGGUCGCAAGGCUGAAACUUAAAGGAAUUGACGGAAGGGCACCACCAGGUGUGGAGCCUGCGGCUUAAUUUGACUCAACACGGGGAAACUCACCAGGUCCAGACACAAUAAGGAUUGACAGAUUGAUAGCUCUUUCUUGAUCUUGUGGUUGGUGGUGCAUGGCCGUUCUUAGUUGGUGGAGUGAUUUGUCUGGUUAAUUCCGAUAACGAACGANACCUUAACCUGCUAAAUAGACCAGCCGGCUUUGGCUAGCUGCUGUCUUCUUANAGGGACUAUCAGCGUUUAGCUGAUGGAAGUUUGAGGCAAUAACAGGUCUGUGAUGCCCUUAGAUGUUCUGGGCCGCACGCGCGCUACACUGACAGAGCCAGCGAGUCUNCNACCUUUGCCGGAAGGCAUGGGUAANCUUGNGAAACUCUGUCGUGAUGGGGAUAGAACAUUGCAUUA
rnacentral:rRNA from 1 species